GGGCCCGCACAAGCGGUGGAGUAUGUGGUUUAAUUCGAUGCAACGCGAAGAACCUUACCAGGGUUUGACAUCCUGCGAAUUUCUGGGAAACCGGAAAGUGCCUUCGGGAGCGCAGUGACAGGUGGUGCAUGGCUGUCGUCAGCUCGGUGUCGUGAGAUGUUGGGUUAAGUCCCGCAACGAGCGCAACCCACGUCUUUAGUUGCCCAGCAUUUUAGUUGGGCACUCUAGAGAGACCGCCGGUGAUAAAACCGGAGGAAGGUGUGGAUGACGUCAAGUCAUCAUGCCCCUUACAUCUGGGCUACACACGUACUACAAUGCUACGGACAAAAGGGCAGCAAACUCGCGAGAGCUAGCAAAUCCCAUAAACGUGGCUCAG
rnacentral:rRNA from 1 species